rnacentral:rRNA from 1 species
UGGGGAAUAUUGGACAAUGGGCGCAAGCCUGAUCCAGACAUGCCGCGUGUGUGAAGAAGGCCUUUUGGUUGUAAAGCACUUUAAGCGAGGAGGAGGCUACUUGGAUUAAUACUCUAAGAUAGUGGACGAUACUCGCAGAAUAAGCACCGGCUAACUAUGUGCAAGCAGCCGCGGUAAUACAGAGGGUGUGAGCGUUAAUCGGAUUUACUGGGCGUAAAGCGUGCGUAGGCGGCUAGUUAAGUCGGAUGUGAAAUCCCUGAGCUUAACUUAGGAAUUGCAUUCGAUACUGGGAAGCUAGAGUAUGGGAGAGGAUGGUAGAAUUCCAGGUGUAGCGGUGAAAUGCGUAGAGAUCUGGAGGAAUACCGAUGGCGAAGGCAGCCAUCUGGCCUAAUACUGACGCUGAGGUACGAAAGCAUGGGGAGCAAACAGG